UAUUAAUAAUGUACCACCAUAUGAGGUGUUUUUUUUUUUUUUUUUCCAGAAUGAUAAAUUAUUAAAUAACAAACAAAGAUAUUUUCCACCUUCGGUAAUUGAAAAGCCUACUUAUCUCCUGUUUCUGUGUGCCAAUCAACAACGAGAAGACUGUGGUGGUCUCUUUUGUGUUAUCCUCUUAUUGCGAAUCUUGCUGGUGAGCUUUCCCUGGUGCUCGCAUUGUCUGUGCUCAGUCAAGCUAAUGUCUAUCAUGUAAGACAAGGAUUGUGUGCAGUGCAUAGUAGUAAGGACAAAAGAUUUGGCCAGGAUUUCUUAUAACACUACCCUCUAC